UCAUUUUCUUCUUUGAUAUUUCGGGCUGAAAAAGUAGUAACAAAGGCAUCUUCGGCCAUUGGAUCCAUGGAAGUGUUUAGUACUUGAAAGGGGUUAUGCUUCGUUAUUAGUCUUUUAGGCUACUUUUCUUUUUCGCUGCUUCUCUCUUCGAUCCAACUCCAGAAAACCCCUAAAUCUCUAGGGUUUUUUAAUUUUCAAUUGGAUAUCAACAAAGCUGGGUUAAUGCUGUAACGCGUUUUUGUCUCCUAAAGGUGUUAACUUUGAAGCCUGAUGGCUACAAAUGCCAAGAGAUAAGACAGUAGUAGGAGGAAGAGAUGAUGUGGUCAACACUUUUGUCAAUGAAACUGGUAACCACUGGUAUCCUUUUUUCUUCUCAACCAAUUCUGCUGGAGGCGAUGGAAUCAUCUGGAGCACAAGUCCUGGACCAAAUAUUACAACUGAUGCUUCCACGAUUUAUGGAUAAAGUAUAUGCUCAAUGUACUUACAUAUUGUGAACUUGAAAUCAAUUCAGAGGGUCAUAUAAACCAUAUGCAUGGAGCGUCGUAGUUGAUUUACAAACAAGUAUCAAUGUUUGGCAAGGUUUGAGCCGAAAACAAGUGUAUGUCGGCUAACUGCAUCAUCAAAUGGAGCAAUAAGAUGGUCUUACUGGUUUAAACAUUAAUAUCAAAUUGGCUUUGUCUGCGUAGAUAAGCGAUAAAAAAUGGCCAAGGGUGUAAUCCUUGUCCACGUGCUUACUACUGGUGCACAACGGUUGUAGGAUGCCCGGUGCGGAAGCAGGUGCAGAGAUGUUAACAGGACACGACAGCUAUGAUUACAGCUUAUGAAGGAUACCACAACCACCCUUUACCACCGCAAGACACGGCAGACAAUCACUGCAGCUUCUACUAGGCUCCUCACAGGUUCAACCAUGAGCAACAGCAGAGAACCAACUCUCUCACCAAAUACUCUCUUCUUUUCACCAUCUGCAACUCCUUUAUCUCCUCGCACUGCUAACAUUACUACUCAAAGUCAACCUCUGCACCAUCAAACUGCACACCAGUUGGCUUGUAAUGUUAAAGCUUUAAUCUUUUCGUGGCCUGAAGUCUAUCAGUAGAACUUGUAUGUAUUGCUUAUGCAGUACAUGGUACAGUGCUUUUUUUGUAACAAAAAAUGGAAACUUCAAACACCCAUUAUGGUAAGACAUAUCUAUGCAUAAAUAAAAUGGCAUUUCUCCUUAUGCUUAA